rfam:Ictidomys tridecemlineatus contig026811, whole genome shotgun sequence.
GGGGUCAUGGCUCAAUGGUAGAGCACUUGCCUUGCAUGCUUGGGGCCCUGGGUUCAAUUCUCAGCACCA